UGUGUGUGUGUGUGUGUAUCUUGGUAGACCAGGAGGGGACCAGGAGGGUGUGUGUGUGUGUGUGUGUGUGUGUGUGUGUGUGUAUCUUGGUAGACCAGGAGGCCUUUCUCAGCAAUUUAAGCAAUGGUUGUGAAUACUUCACAAAGCUGUAAAGACUAUCGUCUUAAAUACUACAGUAGCUUAACAACCUUUUGUGAAGACCAUAGCAUUUAAUUAAGAAACUUUGAGGCUUUCUGGUUUACAUAUAUAUAUUUAACAGUUUUUUUUUGUUUGAAAUGUUAUAUAAGCUUUGAUUUAAACAGAAUUUGCUUCAAUACGUUAAGAUGUAGUCAAAAUAUUUAUUUUCUGAAAAACAAAGUAUUUUAAUGUUAUACCUGCCAUUUUUUCUUAAAGCACAUUUUUUUUUUUGCAUCUGACUGCCAGUGCCAUUGUCAAAAUUGUUGUACAUUUCUUAUUAAGUGCUUAAUUUUAAAGUAUUAUGUUGCCAUUAAAUAGUGUAUAAAAAUGUGUAAUUGCCAAUUCAUUGUAACUAUUAUUUAUUUUUAAGUGAAAAUUAAGAAUGGUUUCUGAUUUAAGAAAUUUGAGUUAUUAAAUUGUGUCCUUAUCCAUUUUUCUAAUGUAGCAUAAAAAUUACCCUGAGUUUGAGUUAUAACUGCCAGUAAGUAGAUGACCAGUCCAAGUGAACCACUUCUUAGUUGCCAGUCUUUGCUCAUAUUAAAAACAACUUAACAAAUGUUUAGUUUUUGUAUCUAAUCUCUGAUUAUUAAAUUGUUUAUAAAGUUUAUUUUUACCAAAGAGAUGCAAUUCACUAUGAUAAAGUAUUACAGAAUAAAUGUUGUUUUAUAACA